GGGAAUAAUACGUAAAUUCCCUGGCUUCAGGGUAUAGGCAACGCCACAUAUCAUACAAGUUAUAGUUAUGCAUUAACAUGGCCAAUUUUUGUGAUGGUAAAGGGACAUGGGAGUUUGUCAUUUAUUCGGGAUACAUCCAUAAUAGGAUCAUGUCAGCUAUUAAAGUCCUCACAUAUAAUGGAAUGUCCCACACUCAUCUUUUGGAUAAACUUAAAAACCUUUGAGAGAAAUAUGGGUUGUGC